rfam:Triticum aestivum genome assembly, contig: Triticum_aestivum_CS42_TGACv1_scaffold_558320_7AL
AACCUACUCUCUCCGUUCCGAAUUAUUUGUUGCUGGUAUGGAUGUAUCUAGAUGUAUUUUAGUUCUAGAUACAUCCAUUUCUACGACGAGUAAUUUGAAACAGAGAGAGUAGGAG